rnacentral:rRNA from 1 species
UACGAAGGGGCUAGCGUUGUUCGGAAUUACUGGGCGUAAAGGGCGCGUAGGCGGUACUUCAAGUCAGGCGUGAAAGCCCCGGGCUCAACCUGGGAACCGCGCUUGAGACUGGAGAACUAGAGUUCGGGAGAGGAUGGUGGAAUUCCAGUGUAGAGGUGAAAUUCGUAGAUAUUGGGAAGAACACCGAUGGCGAAGGCAGCCAGUCUGGACCGACGACCUGACGCUGAGGCGCGAAAGCGUGGGAGCAAACAGG